AUUGAACGCUGGCGGCAUGCUUUACACAUGCAAGUCGAACGGUAACAGGCCUUCGGGUGCUGACGAGUGGCGAACGGGUGAGUAAUGCAUCGGAACGUACCCAGAGGUGGGGGAUAACGCAGCGAAAGCUGUGCUAAUACCGCAUGUGAUCUGAGGAUGAAAUCGGGGGACCGAGCAGCAAUGUUUGGCCUCGCGCCUUUGGAGCGGCCGAUGUCGGAUUAGCUAGUGGGUGGGGUAAAGGCCUACCAAGGCGACGAUCCGUAGCUGGUCUGAGAGGAGGACCAGCAACACUGGGACUGAGCAACGGCCCAGACUCCUACGGGAGGCAGCAGUGGGGAAUUUUGGACAAUGGGCGAAAGCCUGAUCCAGCAAUGCCGCGGGCGGGAAGAAGGCCUUCGGGUUGUAAACCGCUUUUGGCAGGAACGAAACGGUGUCCGCUAAUACCGGGCGCUAAUGACGGUACCUGCAGAAUAAGCAACGGCUAACUACGUG
rnacentral:rRNA from 1 species